CCUCAUCUUUUUCUCUUUUAUUUUUAUCUCUCUUAUCCAGUUUAACAUUUGCUCUGGCUUGAUUUACUCAGUCUCGCCUCAUCUCAUCCCACCAACACAUCUUUAAUACGAUCUUAAAGAUUUAUUCGAAUUUCUAAUUUUUUAACAUUCUACAUUUUUAACGUCGCCAUUUGUAUUUUCAACUUCAUCUUCAUUUUGUUUAUCCAUCAGAUAGCAAAAUGCUUUACUUUCACCUGAUUUCCAGUCUGCACCUUUUAUAGCUUCAUUGACUUUGUCGCUGAUGAUGGGGUAACCCGAAACUAGUACGACUUUAUAUUAAUAAACGCAAGUUAGAAGUUUUUAUAUGGUUUUUAU